GGCGCGGUACCCAAGCAGGAAGGGAGCGGUCUGCAAAACCGCGAUGCGUGGGUGCAAUUCCCACCCGCGCCUCUA
rnacentral:tRNA from 1 species